CCUACGGGAGGCAGCAGUGAGGAAUAUUGGUCAAUGGGCGGAAGCCUGAACCAGCCAAGUCGCGUGCAGGAAGAAGGCGCUACGGGUCGUAAACUUCUUUUGUCGGGGAACAAAGGGCGCGACGUGUGGCGUUUUGCAUGUACCCGAAGAAAAAGGCUCGGCUAACUCCGGGCCAGCAGCCGCGGUAAUACGGAGGGUUCGGGCGUUAUUCGGAUUUAUUGGGUUUAAAGGGUGCGUAGGCGGUCCGGAAAGCUAGCGGUAAAAUCCCGGGGCUCAACCCCGGCGUGCCGUUGAAACUGUCGGCCUUGAGACGGCGAGAAGUAGGCGGAAUGCGCGGUGUAGCGGUGAAAUGCAUAGAUAUCACGCAGAACUCCGAUUGCGAAGGCAGCUUGCCGGCGCCGGACUGACGCUGAUGCACGAAAGCGCGGGUAUCGAACAGGAUUAGAUACCCGAGUAGUC
rnacentral:rRNA from 1 species